UCAUUCAAUUUUAACUCGGGUCUACAUUGCAUAUAUAUCCCCCAAAACACACAACUAACCCUCACACUCCCCUUAUUUAUAUACUACUAUCUGAAUUCUGAUCAUAUCCUAAAAAAUCUCAACCAAUAUUCUGAAUAAUCAAAAGAAUGGAGAGAUCAGUCGUGGAACUUGAUUUCUUCAACAUGGGGAAAGAGUCAACAACAGAUGAUGUUGACAGUGUAAUUUGGAAAAUCGAUUCUACCGGAUCAGGAAAUGUCGUACCAGCAGAAAAAAGUGCGAGCCCUCGAAAUCCUUUGAUGCCUAGGGUGGAUUACUCUCCGUUGCCCGUUUUUAGUCCUUCGUCAAGGUUUUGUUGUGGCUUGGAAAGUGACGCGAAAAUUGCGCCUUUAACUAUUUUCUACAAUGGAACGGUUGCGAUUUUUUAUGUCUCCAAAGAUAAGGCUGAGGAUAUUCUAAAGUUUGCCGAAAGGUCGAAAAUUAUGGAUGCCUUUUCGUCAAAAAAACAAUUGACUGUGGAAACACUAAGUGGAGGGUUGGUUUAUGACAUGUAGAUUUACCAUUGGCGAGAAGAAAUUCCUUGCUUAGAUUCUUGGAGAGGCGAAAAGAGAGGUUGACAACACAAUUGUGAGCACUUGCAUUCUAGCUUAUAUAAUAGAUCAAGGGUACACAAUGAAAGUGGACGAUGUAACCACAAGCUAGACUAGGGAUCACAAAGGAUAAAACAUGGGAGAUAGACAGCCUGAAAAUCACCGAUACAUCACUUUUGGUGCUUACAUAAUGCAAGAAAGAAAGAAUGUUCCAGUAUGCUGCAAUGACAUCAAAGGCAUUAAAAGAUCCUUCAUGUCUAACCUGUUAGCUUGGUGUAAGGAUUGAAUAACAUGUUGUAUUGACAACUGAAAACUUGUUUAGACUUUAGAUACCAGCAGACAAUUUGUUCAAACUUUUAACAGCAACUUGAUGUUUAGUAAUGAAAACUUUUGACUUAUCAACAGGAAUAUUUAAAAAAAAAAGAGCAUUCAUCAGAUUAAAAAUGAAA